AGAGUUGAUCAUGGCGUCAGGAUGAACGCUAGCGACAGGCUUAACACAUAGCAAGGUCGAGGGGCAUCACGGGAGUAGCAAUACAACUGGUGGCGACCGGCGCACGGGUGAGUAACGCGUAUGCAACCUACCUAUCAGAGGGGAAUAACCGGCGAAAGUCGGACUAAUACCGCAUAAAACAGGGGCACCGCAUGGUGAUAUUUGUUAAAGAAAUUCGCUGAUAGAUGGGCAUGCGUUCCAUUAGGUAGUUGGUGAGGUAACGGCUCACCAAGCCGACGAUGGAUAGGGAACUGAGAGGUUGGUCCCCCACACUGGUACUGAGACACGGACCAGACUCCUACGGGAGGCAGCAGUGAGGAAUAUUGGUCAAUGGGCGGGAGCCUGAACCAGCCAAGUCGCGUGAAGGAAGAAGGAUCUAUGGUUCGUAAACUUCUUUUGCAGGGGAAUAAAGUGCAGGACGUGUCCUGUUUUGUAUGUACCCUGAGAAUAAGGAUCGGCUAACUCCGUGCCAGCAGCGGC
rnacentral:rRNA from 1 species